GGCGGGGUAACGGCCCACCAAACCGACGAUCAGUAGGGGUUCUGAGAGGAAGGUCCCCCACGUUGGAACUGAGACACGGUCCAAACUCCUACGGGAGGCAGCAGUGAGGAAUAUUGGUCAAUGGACGGAAGUCUGAACCAGCCAAGUAGCGUGCAGGACGACGGCCCUAUGGGUUGUAAACUGCUUUUAUGCGGGGGUAAAGUGAGUGACGUGUCAUUCAUUGCAAGUACCGCAAGAAUAAGGACCGGCUAAUUCCGUGCCAGCAGCCGCGGUAAUACGGAAGGUCCGGGCGUUAUCCGGAUUUAUUGGGUUUAAAGGGAGCGUA
rnacentral:rRNA from 1 species